AACGAACGCUGGCGGCGCGCCUAAUACAUGCAAGUCGAGCGAGAAGACGUAGCAAUACGUUUGUAAAGCGGCGAACGGGUGAGGAAUACAUGGGUAACCUACCCUCGAGUGGGGAAUAACUAGCCGAAAGGUUAGCUAAUACCGCGUACGCUUCUUGGACUUCGGUUCAGGGAGGAAAGCGAUACCGUGGGUAUCGCGCUCUUGGAUGGGCUCAUGUCCUAUCAGCUUGUUGGGAGGUAACGGCUCACCAAGGCUUCGACGGGUAGCUGGUCUGAGAGGACGAUCAGCCACACUGGCACUGCGACACGGGCCAGACUCCUACGGGAGGCAGCAGUAAGGAAUAUUGCGCAAGUGGGCGAAAGCCUGACGCAGCGACGCCGC
rnacentral:rRNA from 1 species